GAGUGGUGAUGGUGAUAAGUCUAGUGAGUGGACUGAGGGGAUAGAGUGUUUGGAUGCAUCAGGCAGUGUUGUAUAUACUGUUAAAGGUAUAAGGUCUGUUGAGCCCGGGCUUGAUGACCAUGUAAUGAUUGGUGGGAUAAAGAAACCAAUCUCUUGAAUGCCUUGAAUGUUUCAAAGAUUGUUGAAGUUGUGAACAGGUGGAAAUGGGGUCCAGAAUUGGAGACCCAAUUAGAUAAGCUCCAAUUUGUGCCUAAAAUGGUUCUUUUAGAUGGGCUAAUAGGCGAUCUUGGUAUGUGUCAGAUGAUGACUGUUACAGCAUGUUGUUUCAAUCGCUAUCCGAUGAGAUGGUCCAGCCAGGAGGAUUAGAGUAAAGGUGGGAUUUGCUCAAUUGGUGCAUAUAAUAGGGUUAUUCAGUAUUUGGCUAGAGCUGAGAAAUUGGAGGUGUCUUAUUGUUGUUUCUAGAAGGUUCAGGAUUUGGAGUGUAAGAUCGAUACACAAAAGUAUAAUGUGCUUGUGAGCUUGUUUCUGAAUAAAGGAUUUUGAGAUGUAUGAGACCACGGAGAAGGCAGACUGCUCAUUGGAUGGUUCAACAUGCGAAUUAAACUCAGGUCGUCCAAGUUGAGAUUUCUUCAGCUCAAACUCGGCUCUUCUAGCUGAACAGCAAUCUGAGCUCGAGCUGUUUAGAUCUAAUCCACCUAUACCUCUAUAUCAUGGGCUAAGUGCUGUAUUUACAUCUUCGAUUGACAAAUUCUUUGAUAUUGGAGGAUCUAAAGAUGAAUUGGCAAAUUAUGUUGAAAUAUUUGAGUGCUGCUGGCGGAGGAGGCAGAGUCUAGAGUGUGAAGUCUGAUCAUUCUCAAAGGACAUCUUCCUAAGCUUAGUCAGAGCCAAUGGAUGUAUAGCCCCACAAAUGGGGGGCUAAAGAGGCCUUAUUAGCCUAUAUUUGUAAAUAUAAUGGAGGGUUUAUUUGUAAUUAUGUUGUCUUAGAUACCUAGAUAAAAGAUGAAAAGCAUAUAUAAACGAAAGAGGGGUAGAGCUUGGUGUCAUUUUUUAGUGAUUAUGGUAUUGGAAUAUGAUCUGUGUAGCCAAAAGGGAAUUCUGAAAGAUCAGAUCAGACUCAACUUCCCAUGCUUAUUCUUCAUUCUCCAUUAAAAUCUGUGAAUUGCGACCCUUUAAUGUGCUCUGUACAUGGCCAGGAGGAUGAGACAAAAGGAGAGGCUAGCUGCAGGCAGAAAAUCCUCCAUUAAAAAUGACGUGAUGCCUUGCCACCCUUGUCUAUUAAAGUACAAUUUACCUAUGGAAUCAUACUGGAGAUCAUUUUCCAUCA